AAUUUAUUAGUUUAAAUAAAACAUUACAUUUUCAAUGUAAAUAUAAUUAAUUCUAAUUAUAAAUUA
rnacentral:tRNA from 1 species